GUCCACGCCGUAAACGAUGUCUACUAGCUGUUCGUGGUCUUGUACUGUGAGUAGCGCAGCUAACGCACUAAGUAGACCGCCUGGGGAGUACGGUCGCAAGAUUAAAACUCAAAUGAAUUGACGGGGGCCCGCACAAGCGGUGGAGCAUGUGGUUUAAUUCGACGCAACGCGAAGAACCUUACCUACUCUUGACAUCUACGGAAGACUGCAGAGAUGCGGUUGUGCCUUCGGGAACCGUAAGACAGGUGCUGCAUGGCUGUCGU
rnacentral:rRNA from 1 species